rnacentral:lncRNA from 1 species
CCCUGACCGGAGUGACGAAGACGCCACGUCACUUCCACCUCACGUGGGACCCACCUCCGAUUCGCCCCCACCCUCGAGACCAACGGGGCGGGGCGUCACGCGUCGUCACGGGGUUGUGUUUUGGGAAGAGGGCGUUGGGCUGUCACUCGCGGUACCCGAGAAAGGGACGUUCGACCGUCGGAUCUCCCCGCCGAGCCAUCUCGUCCGUACAAAACCCGCAUCGGCUUUUCGGACUCACGUUGGCUCGCCAAGAAAUGCCAC